rnacentral:miRNA from 7 species
UCUGCUUUGACCAGGUUGGGUGGCUGGGGGGCCACUGUGGGGUGCAGAGAUCCUCUGAUUAAAGCUUGUUGCAUUG